rnacentral:rRNA from 1 species
GCAAGUCGAACGGAAGUCGUCAUAAUGAUUCUGAUAUGGAUAUGAAGAUUUAUCAGAUUUGAAAUUGAAGUUGAUUAUGACAGUGGCUUUAGUGGCGGACUGGUGAGUAACGCGUAAGCAAUCUGCCUAUUAGAGGGGAAUAACAGUGAGAAAUCAUUGCUAAUACCGCAUAUGCCAUAGUUAUCACAUGAUAGUAGUGGGAAAGGAGUGAUCCGCUAAUAGAUGAGCUUGCGUCUGAUUAGCUAGUUGGUGGGGUAACGGCCUACCAAGGCGACGAUCAGUAGCCGGACUGAGAGGUUGAACGGCCACAUUGGGACUGAGAUACGGCCCAGACUCCUACGGGAGGCAGCAGUCGGGAAUAUUGCGCAAUGGAGGAAAAACCUCUGACGCAGUGACGCCGCGUAUAGGAUGAAGGUUUUCGGAUUGUAAACUAUUGUCGUUAGGGAAGAUAAAAGACAGUACCUAAGGAGGAAGCUCCGGCUAACUACGUGCCAGCCGCCGC